CAAUAAAAAUCGUGCGGAUUUUUUAAUCCAGGACUAUAAAACCGUGUUGCUCGGGUGAUUGCUCUUUUGAGCCUAUUGCCAUGAGUGUCAAGUCCAUCGGAGAGAUCAUUGUUGUUCAUCUUAGUGCCCUUU